UGCGGGAUAGCUCACUGGUAGAGCGCCGGGCUCAUAACCCGAGGGUAGGUGGUUCGAUUCCUCCUCCCGCAACCA
rnacentral:tRNA from 1 species